UACAGAGGUCUCAAGCGUUGUUCGGAUUCAUUGGGCGUAAAGGGUGCGUAGGCGGCGCGGUAAGUCGGGUGUGAAAUCUUGGAGCUUAACUCCGAAACUGCAAUUCGAUACUGCCGUGCUUGAGGACUUGGAGAGGAGACUGGAAUUUACGGUGUAAGCGGUGAAAUGCGUAGAUAUCGUAAGGAAGACCAGUGGACGAAG
rnacentral:rRNA from 1 species